GAUGAACGCUAGCGGCAGGCCUAACACAUGCAAGUCGAGGGGUAGAGUUCUUCGGGACUUGAGACCGGCGCACGGGUGCGUAACGCGUAUGCAAUCUACCUUAUACAGGGGAAUAGCCCCAGAGAAAUUUGGAUUAAUGCCCCAUAGUGUUAUCGAAUCGCAUGGUUUGAUAACUAAAGUUCCAACGGUAUAAGAUGAGCAUGCGUCCCAUUAGUUAGUUGGUAAGGUAACGGCUUACCAAGACAAUGAUGGGUAGGGGUCCGUGAGAGGGAGGAUCCCCACCACUGGUACUGAGACACGGACCAGACUCCUACGGGAGGGCGAGCAGUGAGGAAUAUUGGUACGAAUAGGGUCGGCCGAA
rnacentral:rRNA from 1 species